UGGAAUGUGUAAUGUGGGGUGUAGUUGUACUCUAGAUGGGAUUUGUAGAUGGACACAGGAUAUCUGGAGCUCUUCAGUUAUCAUGCAACAGUCUGACUCUUGUCCUAACUUUUUUUUCAGAUGCACCUCCUCAGAUGACUGCAGUAGUUCUGUAGGUUCCUUCUUCUCAAACGGAAUAGGGCUCAAGAAUUCAUCUUCCAGAGAAUUUUUGCAAGUCCUGGCUUGUAUUGUAUCUGCCUAUGGUGGCUUAUGUUGUCCCCGAGGCUGCUGAUUUCCCCAGGAUCUGCCAUUUACCUCAAGGAGCGGCAGCCAGAAGAUGUGUCACAGCACGUUCUUCAGCAUCUCGAGUUUUGCGACUCCUUGUUAAAUUUAGAAUAAAAAAUCCCCAGCCGGGUUGUAUUGCAUGAACUGACAUGGUAUGUACCUAUGUUGGCUUAAAACCCAGAAAAACAGAUGAAGAUGAGCAGG